AUGAUUGCACUGGAGAAAGCUAUCGGAUUAUAGGAACACCUCACAACAGUCUUGUUCAUGGCCCCAAAAGCAGAAGAUGAGACAGAAUCCACUUCAAGUACAAUAUUGCCCAGGUAUGAGCUUCAGUAGAACUCAACUGUACAUGGAAGGCAAAAGAUUUGUUAAACAUUCAGCAGGACUGCAUAGAUCAUGGCAUCAUGCAGAUGAUGCAGCAAUCACAGGAUAUUCAAUUGUAGAGGCCUUUUGUCCUUUGACCAUGGCAUGCUGAUAAUUGUAAUUUAGGAUGGUUUGUGAAAACUUCAAAGGGAGGAUAAGUGUAAUAAAGUGUACCUCUUGUAGUAUUGGAGACUCAGCUAAAUCAUCUGUAUCAUUUUUGGCUGAGGUAUUGUUAUCCGUUGAACAGGUAUGAGCUUCCUUAGAACUCAACUGUACAUGGAAGGCGAAAAUUUUGUUAAACAUUCAACAGGACUGCAUAGAUCAUGGCAUCAUGUAGAUGAGGCAGUAAACACAGGGUGAACAAUUAUGCUUUUCUAA